GAUGUGUGGCAUAUACACUGGUCUGGUUCGUCAGUCACUGCAGAAGAAGUAUCAUCUCAAGAAUUCGCCCUGCGAUCCCUGCAUGGUGCAUUGCUGCCUGCACUGGUGUGCCUUGUGCCAGGAGCACCGGGAGAUGAAGAGUCGUCUGUCAGAUAAUGUUGCCAUGCAAAUGACAAUAGUUAACCCUCCACCUGUUCAGGAGAUGAGUGCUGCUGCCGACAACCGAGAAUCCGGACCAUCCUCUGCAAAUGGGGUCAAUCAAACUAACCUCGAGAUGCAAGCUCUAUAAGGUUGUUUAUCGUUGCUGUCAACUUGGUAAAUCAAAUAUAGUUAAAACAAGGUGUAUUCUGCUACUGGAAGAGUCAGAUUUGGAGCUAUGUUUGUACAGAUGAAAGUGGAUGAAAGAAAAAUUGUCUUUUUUCAAGUGGUAUGGUUCAUCAUGCGUAUAAAAUUUUGUGGCGCAAUGUGGUGUUUCGUUUUCAGGAAAGAAGUGAGUGGAUGGGCUUUUUAGACGCACAAACUAGGCUAUUAUAAUUUUUUUUUUGUUAUCUGCUGAAAAUGCUCUUGACGUUAAAGUUCUGAUAGUACAUUAUGUCAUAGGUAUCACCAAAUCAAUUUUCUUUU
rnacentral:misc_RNA from 1 species